UUUUAAGGAAGAAAAUGACUACUUUAAGCAUACGCAGCCAGGCUGCAGCUCAACAGAGCCCCUUGUUGAGUAUAACCUCUCUUCUCAAGUUUGUUAACACGAGAGACCAUUUGUGUGGAAUCUUUUAAUCAUAGGAUUGGGAUGUUUUUCUGCCAAAAAUUUCCGAUGGUUAAAGGGCUUGUGUUUUUGGUAUAAACCCAAUAUUCAAUCUUUCAUGUUUCUGCUCAUCAUUUUUAGUCAAGUUUGUUAUUCAUAUACUUUGUCUCUGUGUUUUAUAUACAAUUAUAUCUCAUCUAAUUGGAACUUACAAAUAUUGUAGACAAAUUUACUAUCUUGCACCCAAAUUUUCUGAUGAGAAUCUAAUUUUGAUGAAGGUGGACGCUGAGGUGUAUGAUAUGAUUGCCACAAAAAAAGGUUUUAAUCAAGGUCUGGUUUGGUGUUUGAUCACAGGUUUAUGUACGGUGGUUGUUCAUGGUAAAUUAUUCAGUCGUAUCUUUCGGACCAAUCAAUGGACGGAAUACAUUCACUUGUAAUAUUCGAGAGUUUUGGUCUCUACUAGCAAAUGUUAUGCAAGGAGGCGAUAACUUAGAACAGAGAAUGGGGGCAUGGUCUAGAAGGAAACAGGUGAGAGUUUUGGUCUCUACUUGCAAAUGUUAUGCAAAGAGGCGGUAAUCUAGAACAGAGAAUGGGGGCAUGGU
rnacentral:lncRNA from 1 species